rnacentral:rRNA from 1 species
AUUGAACGCUGGCGGCAGGCCUAACACAUGCAAGUCGAACGAGUGGCGGACGGGUGAGUAAUGUCUGGGAAACUGCCUGAUGGAGGGGGAUAACUACUGGAAACGGUAGCUAAUACCUCAUACCAUCAGCUGUGCCCAGAUGGGAUGAGCUAGUUGGUGGGGUAACGGUUCACCAAGGCGACGAUCACUAGCUGGUCUGAGAGGAUCAACCGCCACUCGGGAACCGAGACACGGUCCAGAAUCCGACGGGAGGCAGCAGUGGGAAAUAUUGCACAAUGGGCGCAAGCCUGAUGCAGCCAUGCCGCGUGUAUGAAGAAGGCCUUCGGGUUGUAAAGUACUUUCAGCGGGGAGGCGUUACCCGCAGAAGAAGCACCGGCUAACUCCGUGCCAGCCGCCGCGGUAAUUC